CGGGAGGCAGCAGUGGGGAAUAUUGGACAAUGGGCGCAAGCCUGAUCCAGCAAUGCCGCGUGAGUGAUGAAGGCCUUAGGGUUGUAAAGCUCUUUUACCCGUGAUGAUAAUGACAGUAGCGGGAGAAUAAGCCCCGGCUAACUCCGUGCCAGCAGCCGCGGUAAUACGGAGGGGGCUAGCGUUGUUCGGAAUUACUGGGCGUAAAGCGCACGUAGGCGGCUUUGUAAGUUAGAGGUGAAAGCCUGGAGCUCAACUCCAGAACUGCCUUUAAGACUGCAUCGCUUGAAUCCAGGAGAGGUGAGUGGAAUUCCGAGUGUAGAGGUGAAAUUCGUAGAUAUUCGGAAGAACACCAGUGGCGAAGGCGGCUCACUGGACUGGUAUUGACGCUGAGGUGCGAAAGCGUGGGGAGCAAACAGGAUUAGAUACCCCGGU
rnacentral:rRNA from 1 species